AAACAUUUGAAUCAUUGUUUCAUUAGUACUCAUGAACUCUGAUAAUUUAAAGAAUAAUAAAAUUAAUUAAAAAUUUAAACUGGUCUUAAUAGUCAAAUAAUUCUGAUGAAAAUCAUUAUUCUAAAUCAUCAAUUUAGUUAUAAUAAUGAUUGACAUUUGAAAUCUCCAGUCAUUUACUUUGUCAUUGGUUUCCCUUUGCCCUCAGGAGAAGUUCCAAAUUCCUU
rnacentral:lncRNA from 1 species